CGGCACGGGUGAGUAACACGUAAGGUAAUCUACCUUCGAGUGGGGAAUAACGUCGGGAAACCGACGCUAAUACCGCAUAAUGCAGCGGCACCUAAUGGUGACAGUUGUUAAAGGAGCAAUUCGCUUGAAGAGGAGCUUGCGGCAGAUUAGCUAGUUGGUAAGGUAACGGCUUACCAAGGCUACGAUCUGUAACCGGUCUAAGAGGACGGUCGGUCACACUGACACUGAAUAACGGGUCAG
rnacentral:rRNA from 1 species